CAGUAGCCGCGGUAAUACAGAGGGUGCGAGCGUUAAUCGGAUUUACUGGGCGUAAAGCGUGCGUAGGCGGCUAAUUGAGUCGGAUGUGAAAUCCCCGAGCUUAACUUGGGAAUUGCAUUCGAUACUGGUUAGCUAGAGUGUGGGAGAGGAUGGUAGAAUUCCAGGUGUAGCGGUGAAAUGCGUAGAGAUCUGGAGGAAUACCGAUGGCGAAGGCAGCCAUCUGGCCUAAUACUGACGCUGAGGUACGAAAGCAUGGGGAGCAAACAGGAUUAGAUACCCGUGUAGUCCCUGUCUCUUAUAC
rnacentral:rRNA from 1 species